ensembl:lncRNA
AAUAUUUUCUGUUUGUAUUAUGCUUCCUCCCAAUUUGUCUGUCAGGUUCCUUCUCAAAUAAUGGAAACCAGCCAUCUUGUUCUCUGUUAACUCUCUUUCCACAUCUGUCAUGAAUUCCACAUUUUUUUUCAAGGUUCCUGCUUCAUAUUGAUGUUGAUAUGUUCACCAAAAAAAUCAGGAUACUGGGAGCAGGAUGGAGAUAGUGAGUUUGUACUGAAACAUUUUUAAUGGCUCCCACUGUGUAUAUGUGAUUAUAUAAAUUAUUGCCUCAGUGGGAAUUAGAGAACACGGCAGGUAAAAAAGCUGUUAGAAGUCAAACCAGACUGCUCUGGACAGAUUUCAAGCACAAGAUGCUUUAUGGCAACAGGCCAGAGGGUAAUCCUGCCAUAGGGUGCUGUGGCCAGGCUACAAACCAUGACUUCUCCAUCCUUAACAGCCCCAUCACUUCAGACAAAGCUGAGCACUCUGCCACUGAUGGGCCCCUGUGAAGGAUGGGAUUUACCUUUAUAUGGACUGAGCUGCAGCUAUUGCUGCAAUGCAGCUUCCUGGAGAGAGAAAUAGGAUUACACAAUCAGAGUGUGCUGGUGGAGGUAGGAAAGCAGAGGAUGAGCUGGGCUCGGAUGAACUCCACACUCCUUGUUUGCAGGGUGGUUUUAUCAGGUAAUGGAUCUACAGGGGAGCAGAUCUUUGUUUGUUCUGUGGUUUGGGCACUGGGUGUUGGAAGGGGCUGCUGGAAUGUGAUGCUUCUGCCUUGGCUGUUGUGAAAAGCAGCUGAAGCAGAACACAGGAAGAGCUGGUUAGUGUUAAAAAGGGAGGGAGUAGAGGCAAGUGGAGACAAUGACAAGCAGUGCUAGGGGCUGGAUUCAUGUCAUAGGGCCUUUGACUAGGAAGGUCUUUACCCAUUGCAGCAACAAUCUGUGCACUGCAGUAACUGUCACUGACAAAUCUUGUGCUUUUCUUCUUUCAAUAAUGAAAUUCAAAUGCCAUUUCCUUUUAGAAAGAAGACACUGCUUGCCUAAUUUCUCAUCAGUAUUUUUUUUAUCUUGGCCAAGAAGGUGAAUGGAAAACACCUCUUGUUUCUGAUGCAGGCUGUAGAAUUCCUGCUGUUCGUUUAUUCAUUCAAAUUGGACCAUUACCUGAUUGUGCAUCAGUUUAUUGGAGUUUGUUGUUUUCCUUGUAGAUUUUGGUGUAGUGGGAGGCUUGGUUCAAUCAAAAUGGUAAGACUGGCUAUGACCGUGGGUUCCAUGGGUAGGUGAUGUUUCAAUGGGGAGUCAAGCAUGGUGGCUCCUCAGGGUGGACUUCUUGUUCCUCACACUGCUUGAUAGUUUCCUUUCACUGCUUUGCUCUGAGCUGAACCUGUGACUCCACUGGAGACCAAGAAGGGUUUGGUGAUUUUUCUUCCCCAAAUUAGGAAUCUCUCUGUUGUGGAUGGAAGCAGGUGGCUUCCAUCAGAAAAGAUAGGGUUCUUCAGAAAAGAAGCUCAGAAGGUGCUACUACCCAGCAAACCCAAGGCUGAUUGCAUUAUUUUGGGAUGCAGCACUUGCAUAAAGUUGUUUUUUUUUUUUCCCCAGAAAAUAUACAGAGAAAAUGAGUUCCAGAGUGUUCUGAUAAAUGAUAGGAAAUGGCUCACAGUUUCACUUUUGUUGUUCAAAACAGAAAAGAGAGGAGAAAGGAGCUGUUUGUUAUAUCAGGUCAAAAUCCACAUGCACCCUUGCAUAACUGGUCCUCUGCUCUGGCUGGUGAGCAAGAUUAGCAGGCUUGCAGCCACAUUCCUCUCAUCUCUUGCGAAACUCCAGCCUGUGAAUAUCUUUUAUUUAUUGUCACUAGUUAACAGCAAAGAGGGAAAAGGGACAGCUUAAGAUGAUAUUGACACUAACAAAGCACAUGAUGUAUUUUCUGUGAAGAAUUACCUGAUUACUGAUAAAUCCUGCAAUUGCAUCCAUCUGGUGAAAGCCCUGACUUUAUGAAGGAGAAGGGAAAUUUGCUGUUCUUUUCCUGAGCUUCUGUGACAGUGCCCUCUUGAGAGAGGUUAAGUACCGGUGAGGGCAGCACUCUGAAGAGAACCACUCGCUGUCCCAUUGUGCUAAUGCUGCUUACUUUUAUAAGCCACCCUUAGGAAGAUAAACAUCUCCCACAGAAGGUUUUUGUUAAAUAAAUAAACAAGAUGUUUAACCUAACUACUAGCU